CAUCUUCCUCAAUUUCUGUUUCAGUUUCUCUGUGGUACAGAGUUUAGAACAGCUGUGCCUGCUUAGCAGCUUGGUGUGCUGGGGCAAAGCCUUCUGCAGCCAGCUGGCUCUGCAUUUUAAAAGUCUCCCAGCCAGCUAAACCAGCCAAUCCUGGCUUACCAACCUUCACCGAACCUCCAAAACCUCGGGCAUGCAGGGGUUGGGGUGGAGAACAGUGUAAAUGUGUCAUUGCUAAAAACAGAAAGUAAACAUGCCCACAGAAGAGGAAAUGGAGAGUCUGUCAGAAGCCAGGAAAAGGAAACCUAAGGCAGAUCAGGGCUGAGCAGAUGCAGAAGAGCCUAGACAACUCAGCCACUGCAGGGUGAGGGCUGCUGGAUCACUGGGGAAGGUACUGGUCUGGCUUCUGAGUACUUGGGACACGGCUCCCUGAGGAUGACCUUGCAUUGUUCCUGACUGGCCCUGGAUUUCGGGGGGCCUGGAGUUACAAAGCAGCACAUGUCCACUUCAGUCAGGGAUUGGCUGAAAACACACAGCCAAUUCCAGACACCACUGAGCUGCCUGCCUUCUAGUUGUGGUGGCCCUGGUCACCCUGGCACCUGAAAACUGUUUGCAUUCCUUAAAGUGGAAGGCUGAAAACUAGGCUCAGAAAACUUGCAGAAACUUGCAGGCCCAGCCUCAGAGGAACUGGUGGUAAUUUACACCUAGAAAUUUACCCUACCCAAAACAUUUUGGCUUAGCUCUGAGACCCUGGGGCCUAGAAACCUUUGAUCUCCAUCCUGGAUGAAGGUCCAUUCAAGCUUGCAACGGUCCUUAGAUGGGAUGGGUGGUAGGUGUGUGGAUGGAGGUAAAGAAAGGGGAUGACAGGAAGACCAACAGCAAUCUAGGCAGCAAAACCUUGUACUUGUCUCCUUGAGUCAGGACUUCUCAUGACUGAGCAAUCACACUCCAGGAUGCGUCUGGACCUGGAGACAUGUGGAACCCUCCGGCCAGGUUAUGGAGGAAGAUCCCUGCUCACCAAGUCUGGCAACUCAACAGCCAGCAGUGCCCUUGCCCUUGUUAAGAAAAAUUGACUGCAUUUCCAAAAGGGAGCUGCAAUGUUGGCUGAAUGUAAGCAGCAGCAGAAUCAAUCCCAUCGCUGCCAAGACCCAGUUGCUGAUGCAGGAUUCUGAACUUCAGAGGAAACUAAGUAAUUCUCCCUGUGGAGACAUGGAAUCUGAUCAGCAUUGAUAGUGUCCCAGGAAACACCAUCAACAGGGGAAAGCAAAUGUUUUGAGGCAAGAUCCUGCAUCCUGAAGCCAGGACAAGCAUCUCUUCAGAAAGGAACUGUGCACCUGAACAAUGGAGUCUUCCUGAGACCACACUUGUAGAUGCCAAACUAAGCAGGAGCAGAUCAUAGCACCUGGAGUGCACUAGAGCCUGUAAAGAAGUCUCUGGAUAUAAUACUCUAUCUUCUUCUCUGCUCCUGCUUCCUGUCCUGGGUGAGUUCCAGUCCUGACUUCCUUUGGUGAUGAACAGCAAUGUGGAAGUGAAGGGAGAGAUCAAAGAAGUUUUGAGGAAGGAAAAUGAGAGCAGAGCUGCACCAGGCCACUCAGAAAGGACAUCUUGAAGAGAACUCCUGCCUCUGGAGGAAGUAAGGUAAGUCCAGUGGACAGCCAGUGAACCUCAUGUGAAAUCCUCUCACAGAAACAUCACCAGACUGCAAAAUCAAUGGCCUGCCUCCUUCUCUUCCUAACACAAGAAAGAACUUUGAGCAAUGCGACUAUCAUGCUUCUGUCUCAUGCUGCCAUGCCUUCUGUCUCUGAUGGUGGGGUCUGUCCUCUGAGAUUCAAACUGCCUUGGAGGUUUGAAAGCCUGGGAUACAUUCUUACAUUUCUUAAGUGCUCAUGCAGUGGGAACAAAUGACCUCUUCUUCCUGCUGCUGUGUGUGCCUGUUGUAAUGGACGGCAUCCCAAGGGAACUCUCUUACCCACAAGAAACCUUUCUUAUCUUUGGGGGAUGUGAGGGAAACAAAUAAACAUUUUUUAAUAGAUAGCCUAAAAACAGGAUGACCAAUACUGCUUUACAGUGACUCUGCUUCUUCUAGGCACGGAGCCAGAGACACCCUGAGAAGUUUCUAGUGUUUAAGUCUUCAGUAGAGCUUCAGGAAAGAUCUGGAGACCCAGAUGUGGUGGUGGACCUACUGCACCUCCCAAUGCAUGCACCCUGAUCUUAAUUGAUAGAGCAUAAGCAUGGAGUCUUCGUCAUUGUUUAUAAAUAUAUUGUUUCAUUCAUUCAUUUAUACAUUUCCGUUCAUUCAUUCUGCGGUGGUUUAAAGGAAGGUGGUCCUCACAGGUUCAUAUUUGAAUGUUUGGUUCCUAAUUGGUUGAACUCCUUUUUGAAAGAUGAAGAAGUGUGUUCGUUUUGGAAGGAAGUGACUCCAGGUGUUUUCUCUCUCUCUCUCUCUCUCUCUCUCUCUCUCUCUCUCUCUCUCUCUCUCUCUCUCUGUGUGUGUGUGUGUGUGUGUGUGUGUGGUGUGUGUGCGUAUGUGUGUGUGUCUGUCUCUCUGUCUAUCUCUGUCUCUUUCUGUUUGUCUGUCUUUCUAUUUGUUUGUCUGUAUGUCUCUGUCUCUCCUCCCCCCCUCCCUCCCUUCUGGUGGUGCUGCCAUCUGGUGGUGAAACAUGAUGUGAGCACUCUCAGCCAUUCCUUCCCUCUGCUGUCAAGGGCUCUAACUCUGUGAAACCAUAAUCCAUACUAACCCCUUCUUUCACAAGUUGCUUUGAUGUGGAUUAUGUUGUUUUGUCAGAGCCAUGGAAAAGUGACAGAUAUAUUAUCCAUUUUCUGUUUGCGCAGAUGUGAAGCUGCAUGUCCUUGAUUUCAUGCAGCUCUGUGUUCUCUUUCAAGCUAUGUCCCCUCCCAGCUCUCAAGCAUCCCUGAGAGCAUUAGCCAACUUUUCCCAUACAUUUUACCAAGCUACUCACAUGUGACAAGAGGAAAACAUGAGUUCAUGUAUCCAGCAAGCCUUAGACCUACAAAUGAAAGACAUUGGGUAUCUGUCAUCUGGAGACUUGGUCAUCCAAUUGGGUGUGGCUGUCUCCAGGUACAAGCAUCUCUCUGCAGACCAUACAACUUCAUCCUUCUUGUGAAGAACAAUAAUUGCUACACAUCUGAUCCCCACUCCCUCUUCAUUCAGUCUUUUACCACUGGAUCCUUUGUUGUUGUU